AACCCGUUAAGCAAGCCGCCUGGAAAGUACGGCCGCAAGGCUGAAAUUCAAAGGAAUUGGCGGGGAGGCACACAACCAGUGGAACAUGUGGUUUAAUUCGAGACUAACCGAAGAACCUCACCAGGGUUUGACAUGUAGCUGCACGUCUUAAGAAAUUAAGACUCUCUUGAAGGUGCUACACAGGUGCUGCAUGGCUGUCGUCAGCUCGUUCCGUGAGGAGUGCCCUUAAGUGGGACAACGUGCGCAACCCCUAUUACAUGUUAGAAAUGUCAUGUAAGACUGCCUUGCCAUUUGGCGGGGAGGAAGGAGGGGCAGACGUCAAGUCCGCAUGGUCCUUAUGCCCUGGGCUACACACAUGUUACAAUGAGUACGGCAAUGAGUCUGUCGCGAGCACGUAAGUGUAAGCUAAUCUCUUAAAUGUACUCUCAGUGGGGAUUGAGGUCUGCAACUCGACCUCAUGAACACGGAAUUGGUAGUAAUCGCGGGUCAGCUAUACCGCGGUGAUACGUUCUUGCCUCUUGCACACACCGCCCGUCAAACCAGCAAAGUCGAUUGUAUCCGAACCUCUCUUUU
rnacentral:rRNA from 1 species